rnacentral:rRNA from 1 species
AACGAACGCUGGCGGCAUGCCUAACACAUGCAAGUCGAACGAGACCUUCGGGGCUAGUGGCGCACGGGUGCGUAACGCGUGGGAACCUGCCUUUAGGUUCGGAAUAACUCCCCGAAAGGGGUGCUAAUACCGGAUAAUGUCUUCGGACCAAAGAUUUAUCGCCUUUGGAUGUGCCCGCGUUGGAUUAGCUAGUUGGUAGGGUAAAAGCCUACCAAGGCGACGAUCCAUAGCUGGUCUGAGAGGAUGAUCAGCCACACUGGGACUGAGACACGGCCCAGACUCCUACGGGAGGCAGCAGUGGGGAAUAUUGGACAAUGGGCGAAAGCCUGAUCCAGCAAUGCCGCGUGAGUGAUGAAGGCCUUAGGGUUGUAAAGCUCUUUUACCCGGGAUGAUAAUGACAGUACCGGGAGAAUAAGCUCCGGCUAACUCCGUG